GGAUGUGAGGGUGAUCUGUCUGUGACAUCUGUCACCCCACUGAUUGCCAGGGUUGAUUUGGCUGAGCUGGCUGGCUAGGUGGGUGCCUCCUUCCUUCCUCACCGCUUCAUGUGCGUCCCUCCCAAAGCUGCGCUCUUGGUCCAAGAGGACGACCAUCUCCGAUAGAGGAGGACCGUUCCUCGGUCAAGGUUAUAGGAGUAGCUGCGCUCCCCUACUAGAACCUCCAAACAAGCUCUCAAGACUGGUAAUAAUGUGGUUAUUUAAGGAAUUCAUGUCAAACAAUUGCUAGAAGAGAUUGAAGC
rnacentral:snRNA from 1 species